AGUUUUAGUAGUUUAAAUUAAAACAUUGAUUUUGUAAAUCAAAAAUAUAAAUUAUUUCUAAAAC
rnacentral:tRNA from 1 species